rnacentral:rRNA from 1 species
GACGAACGCUGGCGGCGUGCUUAACACAUGCAAGUCGAACGGGUCUGCCCUGUUUUUUGCGGGGUGGGUCAGUGGCGAACGGGUGAGUAACACGUGAGUAACCUGCCCCUCUCUUCUGGAUAACCGCUUGAAAGGGUGGCUAAUACGGGGUGUUCUGGCUGUGCCGCAUGGUGUGGCUGGGAAAGAUUCACUUUUGUGGUGUUUUGGUGGGGGAUGGGCUCGCGGCCUAUCAGCUUGUUGGUGGGGUGAUGGCCUGCCAAGGCUUUGACGGGUAGCCGGCCUGAGAGGGUGGGCGGUCACACUGGGACGGAGAUACGGCCCAGACUCCUGCGGGAGGCAGCAGUGGGGGGUAUUGCACAAGGGGCGGAAGCCUGAUGCAGCGACGUCGCGUGAGGGAUGGAGGCCUUCGGGUUGUGAACCUCUCUCGCCGGUGAAGAAGGUCCUGCUCUUUGUGGUGGGGUUGACGGUAGCCGGGUUAUGAAGCGCCGGCUAACUACGUG